rnacentral:sRNA from 1 species
ACCUGUUGCGGGCGGCGAGAGCGGCGGCCGCGACACAAGACACACACCGUGCCACGGGAAGAACGCGGCACUUUUGGGCGUU